AAAUUCAUAGUCCAUGCUCAAGAUCGAAUGGCAUCUCUCAGACUGGAAGACCUUUCUGAAGUCAGUUCCAGACAUCCCUGGAAGGCUGGAUAAUUUGGGAAAAGGCUGACUCAAUGUAAGCCCAACUUAUACAUGGCACUCCAAGGGGAUGCUUCAGCCAGAAAGUAAAGGGCUGAAAAAGUAGAACAAUACAAAAGCCCUCGUGUGGUGGGAACUGUGGCCUCACUCUUACUUGUCCUUCCAUUCAAAACAGUUUGGCACCUUUCCAUGACGAGGAUCUCUACAGGACUCUGCCUGAGAAAUUUUAUACAUUCCUCCAAAGAAAAAAAAUACAGAAAAGCUGUUUCAAAACCAAAAUCUCCUUAUUUUCCCAGAAUAGAAUGAGGAGAAAACAACUAUUUUUGAGCCAUUAAUGUCUGACAGUUCCAGAAUGCAACAAUUAAAAAUUGUUACCAACUUGUGACAAUUCCAUUAUAUACAUGGCUAAAAAGUUUUCCUGGGAGAGUGUACAAAAUAUGUUACCAAACCUAUCAAAAGCAAGCCAUGCAAUAAAAAAUGACUGAAUAAUAAUAAUAAAAAAGAGGAAGAAACUAAAAUCGAGAGAGGUUAAUAAUUGUGCCCGAGGCUACACAGCUACUAAGCAAACCAGAUCUAUGCUCAAAGCCCAUGCAGGACUGUAACCACGGUGCAAGAUCAAUCCUCCUGCUUGGAGAACUGAUCCAACUCCACACCUGUAUCUUCAGGUUGGACUCGCUUCUUCAACCCAUGUACAUGUCCAGUAUUCCUUCAUCAUUGACAAAUACCUUCCUUUGACUUUACUGAUUCUCUGACUACCACCUUUUCAAUGAAGGUAUUUUUUCAGUCAACCAUUUUAACAAAUUCAUCUUUGCUUGGUCUCCAAUUCCUCUCCUUGAAGUUGCUCUUCACAUCACUAUAAACCAGCUUUUGAUCUCAUUGCUUCUUAGAGAGUUAGUAAAAAAAAUGGAUAGAAUAAUAGUGAAAGACUUCCCUGGCCAGGUGCCAUCCCUCGGUGCUUCCACGGUUACUGACGCGUGUAUUCUCCACAGCAAUUACAACUGGAUCAAAAUCAUGGAUCUACAUGCCCAUUUCACCCACUAGACUGUGACGUCAGAGUCGGUGACAUUGCCUUCAACAUCUCCGUAUGCUCAUUACCCAGGGUGGUGCUUUCUACAGAAGGUCCUCAAUCCAUCCUCCUUGAAAUGAAUGGAAACCAACCGGCAUGUGUAAUGAAUGGUUCCAAAAGAGAAUGCUCUAGGAGUGCAGCUUGGGAUGCUAGGAACACACUCCGGUCUGGAGCCCAGCUCACUCCCUGGUUCAUGGUGGAUGUCCAAAAAUAGGCAUGAAAACGAGUGAAGCGAGAAUAUGUACUUCUCAAUUCUCAAGUUAUUAUUGGUGACACCCACCACCUAGUACCAGAUCUCAGGAGGCUGAGAUGGAAAGUUAUGGGAAACUUUGUACCUCUUGCCAGUUGAAUUCAUGACACCCAAUUUUAAA
rnacentral:lncRNA from 1 species